rnacentral:rRNA from 1 species
CGUGAAUCUGCCUAAGGAUGAGGCCGCGACCGAUCAGGUUGUUGGCGAGGUAAUGGCUCACCAAGCCUUUUACCGGUGCGGGCCGUGGGAGCGGGAGCCCGGAGAUGGGUACUGAGACAAGGACCCAGGCCCUACGGGGCGCAGCAGUCGCGAAACCUUUGCAAUAAGCGAAAGCUUGACAGGGCUAUCCCGAGUGCCAUCCGCUGAGGAAGGCUUUUACCCAGUCUAGAACGCUGGGGGAAUAAGGAGAGGGCAAGUCUGGUGUCAGCCGCCGCGGUAAUACCAGCUCUUCGAGUGGUGUGGAUGUUUAUUGGGCCUAAAGCAUCCGUAGCUGGCUAGGUCAGUCCCUUGUUAAAUCCACCGAAUUAAUCGUUGGAUCGCGGGGGAUACUGCUUGGCUAGGGGACGAGAGAGGCAGACGGUAUUUUCGGGGUAGGGGUGAAAUCCUAUAAUCCCGGGAAGACCACCAGUGGCGAAGGCUGUCUGCUAGAACGCGCCCGACGGUGAGGGAUGAAAGCUGGGGGAGCGAACCGGAUUAGAUACCCGGGUAGUCCCAGCUGUAAACGAUGCAGACUAGGUGUUUGGACGGCCACGUGCCGUUCUAGUGCCGCAGGGAAGCUGUUAAGUCUGCCGCCUGGGGAGUACGAUCGCAAGAUUGAAACUUAAAGGAAUUGGCGGGGGAGCACCACAAGGGGUGAAGCUUGCGGUUUAAUUGGAUUCAACGCCGG